AGAACUGGAGCAAGACUGUGACUAAGUGAUAAGCGAAGCUGCCCACAAAGAACAACUCAAAAUGGCUGUUGACAAAGCCACGGCAUACAAAACACUAAUCCUGGUGGUGCUUGCGAUCUGGUCAUGUGCCGAAGGUGUAAACAAGGACACCCCGGCACUCCAGUGCCAGGUGACAAACAAUCAAUCCUGGAUCACAUGCAACUGCAGCAUGUAUGGCGCUGUGGCCAGAUGCGUGGUCAAUGGUUCAUUUCUGCACUACGCUGGUUACUCUUUCGCAUAUCUCUUUAACUUUGAUACAUUUUACACCACUGAGGGGGAAACACAUGAACGCGUAUAUUUGGAAGAAGGCGAUGAAGUGACAUGCUUUCUCCUUGAGAUGGGGCAACUCUCCAACACCACCACCUGCCUCAAAUUUGGAGUGAUGACGGAAAGCAAAAGCAGUUGUGACCGCAGUGAAGGACCAAAUUCUCCGGCCAAACCACCUACGACUACCAGUACAGACAGUUCUCAACAACUAUCCAACAAAGCUAUAGCGCUUAUUUCUGCGGUGUUGGUGUGGGUGCUCACUUCAUAAUCACAAACAGGGUUUUCUACGUGCUCAGCCGACAUGACCUCCUGCCGUGCAUAACAUCCAGAGAUGCAGCAGCAUUGUUUUGCAACUUGUGACAAAGUUGAAUAUUUAUAGAUAGUCACAAUUUUUUUACUCAUCACAAGCUUGUUUUUUAACGGUAAAUCUAUGCAAUAAUCCGGUUUAAUUAAAUACACGCACCGGUAAAUUAAUAUUAUCCACUCACUGUAAUGUUAAUUAUCAGUGCCACCUUCAAAAAAAUGCCCCACCUCCUACCUUUUUACAAACCAAGAUGUUAAACAUUUAUUUUUUACUGGGCCUUAAGGUAAACACGUCCAAAAUACAGGAUCCUAAUAAAAAAAAAGCCUGGAUUGUCUUUCCAAAGUGGUUCUUGCAAAAAAGCAAUUCACUGCAACAGUAUUUUUAACAGUACUCAGAAUUCAUAAAUCAGUAUUUCAAGGCUCAUGGACAAGUACAGGGAUGCACCUAUUUAUAAAUUUAUUUAUUUUAUUUAUCUUAAGCGAACAAGAAGAUGGCUGCAUCAGACGAAAUUGUAAGUGGUCAGAGAUUCCUUUUUUUUUUUGUGCUAAAUCUUUGCAAACUCGUGGCUAUUUAAUAUGUACAAUUGUGUCCAUUAUUGCCACUGAUUUUGUAUAGUUUGUUCAUCAACAAUCUUCCAGCCGGUACGACCAAAUAUUUGGCUAUUCGAUUGAAUCAAAGGUUAAAUAAUUGAAUAGUCAAUUAUUCGAAUUGACUCCAACCUAACUAUAGUUGCCAGUUAACUGAAAGCCCAUGAAAAAAUACCAUACAGCAAGUUUCUUUUAAGAGUUUCCAUUAUGGCAAAGUUCAAAUUACAAUUAUUUACUCAAAACAUUAUCUAGUUAAUAAUAUACAGUAGAUACCUAACAGUAUACACACAUGUGUCUUAUCUACCCUGUAGCUUAAUGUGAGACUGCCAAGAGUUGAAUACUGGGAAUAAAAUACAACAAUUGAUA